rnacentral:lncRNA from 9 species
AUGGAACCAUCCGAGAUGGACUCUCUAAUAUUUUCUGGGAGGAAUCAAGGGACUCCAAUGCUGGAAGCAAGGCCCCUGGAGGACCUCAGGGUGGUGCUGACAGCCCUUUGUGACUCAGGGACUCACCGGUGUCCGCCCAGGCAGUUCCCCUUUCCGUCGGCCUCAGGGAACUGCUCAGAUCUUCUCAUGAGAGGAAUCCCGACUGCUCCACAGACAGGUGCCAGCGUUCAGACCCUGAGGCUGCCUCUGGCUCCGCAAGUGUGGAUGUGCCCAGGCAGGUCUCAGGACGGAGCCUCGAGAAGCAGGAAAGGCCGUGUGGAUGGAGCCCCUGGGGACGGAGAGGAGGAGGAAGAUGGACUGGGUCGAGCAGAGGAGUCAUCUGAUUCACCGUACAGGACAGCGUCCAGCCUUCACGCCGGGACGUCCUCCAGGGACGCCGUCGGGAGUCACAGGCUUCAGGAAGGUAGGUGCUUCGUCUGUAACGUCUUUAGCCUGAAAGGAGGCAGCCUUAAGGAAAUCUGGAAUGUAAACAUGAGCCUUUGCCCAGAAAAGAAAGAAACUUAUGGACUUGGAGAACAGACUUGUGGUUGCAGAGGGGGAGGGAGUGGGAUGGACGGGGAGUCUGGGGUUAACAGAUGGAAACUAUUGCCUGUGGAAUAGAAAAGCAAUGAGAUCCUGCUGUGCAGCACAGGGAACUAUGUCCAGUCACUUGGGAUAGACCAUGGAGGAGGAUAAUGUGAGAAAAAGAAAUUAUAUAUGAUUGAGUCACUUUGCUGUACAGUAGAAAUGGACAGAAUACUAUAAAUCUACUACAAUGGAAACAAUAAAAAUACUAAAUUUAACAAUUGAAAAAAUAGUCAUGUCUGCACUAUCCUGUUGUAUAGGCACAUGUCUAUAUUCGGGUUUAUCUUAUUAACAACUGUCAUAAAUAUAAAAUGUUAAUAUGAAAAUAUAUACCAUUUAUGAGACAAUAUAUUGUAAAUUAUGGUACAUAUAUAACAUGUACCAUAUGUAAUUUUGAACUUGUAAUGCAUAUAGUAUAUAUUGUAUAUUGUAAAUUGUAUAUGCACAUGAGAGUAUAUUAAUUGCAUAUAUAUUACAUAUUAUAUAAUAUGUAAUGUAUAAAUAUGUAACAUAGUAUAUAUAACAUGCAAUAUAUAAUACAAAGUCUACUAUGUAUGUGAAGUAUCCAAUGUCAUACACAAUUUAAUAUACAAGUUACUAAUAUACUGUUUUUUUUUUUUAAAUAUAUUUUUAUUUUCCCACUGUACAGCAAGGGGGUCAGGUUAUCCUUACAUGUAUACAUUACAUUUUUUCCCGCACCCUUUGUUCUGUUACAGCAUGAGUAUCUAGACAUAGUUCUCAAUGCUAUUCAGCAGGAUCUCCUUGUAAAUCUAAGUUGUGUCUGAUAAGCCCAAGCUCCCGAUCCCUCCCACUCCCUCCCCCUCCCAUCAGGCAGCCACAAGUCUCUUCUCCAAGUCCAUGAUUUUCUUUUCUAAGGAGAUGUUCAUUUGUGCUGGAUCUUAGAUUCCAGUUAUAAGUGAUAUCAUAUGGCAUUUGUCUUUGUUUUUCUGGCUCAUUUCACUCAGGAUGAGAUUCUCUAGUUCCAUCCACGUUGCUGCAAAUGGCAUUAUGUCAUCAUUCUUUUUUAUGGCUGAGUAGUAUUCCAUUGUGUAUAUAUACCACCUCUUCCGAAUCCAAUCCUCUGUCGAUGGACAUUUGGGUUGGUUCCAUGUCCCGGCUAUUGUGAAUAGUGCUGCAAUGAACAUGCGGGUGCAUGUGUCUCUUUUAAGUAGAGCUUUGUCCGGAUAGAUGCCCGAGAGUGGGAUUGUGGGGUCCUAUGGAAGUUCUAUGUAUUGAUUUCUAAGGUAUCUCCAAACUGUUCUCCAUAGUGGCUGUACCAGUUUACAUUCCCACCAACAGUGCAGGAGGGUUCCCUUUUCUCCACAGCCCCUCCAGCACUGGUUCUUUGUGGACUUAUGAAUGAUGGCCAUUCUGACUGGUGUGAGGUGGUAUCUCAUGGUAGUUUUGAUUUGCAUUUCUCUUAUAAUCAGCGAUGUUGAGUAUUUUUUCAUGUGUUUGUUGGCCAUCUGUAUAUCUUCUUUGGAGAAAUGUCUAUUCAGGUCUUUUGCCCAUUUUUCCAUUGAUUGAUUGGUUUUUUUGCUGUUGGGUUGUAUAAGUUGUUUAUAUAUUCUAGAGAUUAAGCCCUUGUCUGUUGCAUCAUUUGAAACUAUUUUCUCCCAUUCUGUAAGUUGUCUUUUUGUUAUCUUUUGGGUUUCCUUUGCUGUGCAAAAGCUUUUCAGUUUGAUGAGGUCCCAUGGGUUUAUUUUUGCUCGAAUUUCCAUUGCUUUGGGAGACUGACCUGAGAAAAUAUUCAUGAGGUUGAUGUCAGAGAGUGUUUUGCCUAUGUUUUCUUCUAGGAGUUUGAUGGUGUCCUGUCGUAUAUUUAAGUCUUUCAGCCAUUUGGAGUUUAUUUUUGUGCAUGGUGUGAGGGUGUGUUCUAGUUUCAUUGCUUUGCAUGCAGCUGUCCAGGUUUCCCAGCAAUGCUUGCUGAAUAGACUUUCCUUUUCCCAUUUGAUGUUCUUGCCUCCCUUGUCAAAGAUUAAUGGACCAUAGGUGUCAGGGUUUAUUUCCGGGUUCUCUAUUCUGUUCCAUUGGUCUGUCAGUCUGUUUUGGUACCAAUACCACACUGUUUUGAUGACUGUGGCUUUGUAGUAUUUCUUGAAGUCUGGGAGAGUUAUGCCUCCUGCUUGGUUUUUGUUUCUCAGGAUUGCUUUGGAAAUUCUGGGUCUUUGCUUGUUCCAUAUAAAUGGAUUGUUUGUUCUAGUUCUGUGAAAAAUGUCAUGGGUAAUCUGAUAGGGAUUGCCUUGAAUCUGUAGAUUGCUUUGGGUAGUAUGGCCAUUUUUACAAUAUUGAUUUUCCCAAUCCCGGAACAUGGAAUAUCUUUCCAUUUCUUUACAUCUUCUUUGAUUAAGGUUUUAUAGUUCUCGGCAUAUAGGUCCUUUACCUCCUUGGUCAUGUGUAUUCUGAGGUAUUUGAUUUUGUGAGGUGCAAUUUUAAAACGUAUCGUGUUUUUGUAUUCCUUUUCUAAUGUUUCAUUGCUGGUAUACAAAAAUGCAACUGACUUCUGAAUGUAAAUCUUAUAUCCUGCUACUUUGCUGAAUGUAUUAAUCAGUUCAAGUAGUUUUUGGGUUGAGUCCAUAGGGUUUUCUAUGUAUAGUAUCAUGUCAUCUGCAUACAGUGACAGUUUUAUCUCUCCUCUUCCUAUAUGGAUGCCUUUUAUUUCUUUUGUCUAAUUGCUGUGGCUAGGACUCCCAGAACUAUGUUGAAGAGCAGUGGUGAGAGUGGGCAUCCCUGUCUUGUUCCAGAUUUGAGUGAGAAGGCUUUCAGUUUUUCCCCAUUGAGUAUUAUUAUAUAUACUGUUAAAAUCAAACAGUCACAAAUACUGUGUAUAUAAACAAAUGACUACAUAACACAUCCUGUUGUCUAUACUAGCAUAGUUACAGUAUGACAAACUUAUGUAUUCACGUUACAUAAUCUCUGUAUUCAUUCUGCACAAUCUGUUACUCAGUCUACAGAUUCUGCCUCACAUCCUAAUAUUCCGUCUGCACAAUCUCUCUUCUGUUGUCCACACAUUCGUUCUGCGUCACCUCUAUUAUACACGCAUCCUGGAUGUACUCACUCUGCAUGAUUCUAUACUCAUCUGUUACAUAUUCAUUCUGCAUCAUCUGUCAUAUACUCAGCACGUUCUGCGUCAUCUCAGUUACACAUUCGCUCUGCAUGAUCUCGAUUCUAUACGCCACAUAACCUCAUAGUUAUUCUACACAGUCAUUGUACAUAGUAUCACAUCCUCAUUGUACAUGCUACAGACAUCAUUAUUUACCGUAUGUCUACCUUGCUUCUGGGAUUGAAAGUGUCAGGGGAGGUGUGGACCCCUUUCCUGAACUGCGUGCUGAGAACUGCGUGACCGCGGGGAGGACCAGGCAGGCCUGUUCUUACUGCUUAGUUCCCACCGGGGCUGAGGGUGCCCCGGGCCCCUGUCCCCUCUGAAGCGGACAGGGAACUCGCCCUCCACUUGCCCCAUGUCCCCGCCCC